rnacentral:rRNA from 1 species
CAAGACCUUGCGCUGAAGGAGCGGCCGAUGUCUGAUUAGCUUGUUGGUGAGGUAAAGGCUUACCAAGGCAACGAUCAGUAGUUGGUCUGAGAGGACGGCCAACCACACUGGGACUGAGACACGGCCCAGACUCCUACGGGAGGCAGCAGUGGGGAAUUUUGGACAAUGGGCGAAAGCCUGAUCCAGCCAUGCCGCGUGAGUGAAGAAGGCCUUCGGGCUGUAAAGCUCUUUCAGUCGGAAAGAAAAGAUCAUGACUAAUACUCAUGAUUCAUGACGGUACCGACAGAAGAAGCACCGGCUAACUACGUGCCAGCAGCCGCGGUAAUACGUAGGGUGCGAGCGUUAAUCGGAAUUACUGGGCGUAAAGGGUGCGCAGGCGGUCUUGCAAGUCGGAUGUGAAAGCCCCGGGCUUAACCUGGGAAUU